CUACAGUACUACUAGCUACAGUUUAUGCAGUUACCGUAUUUAUUUACAACCUGUUUUAUUGUGUAUAUCUCUUCACACCUUGCUUUGUAGAUUUGGCUAUUUAUAAUAUUAAUAAGUAAACCCAACUCUUGAUACUUAAUUGGAUUAUUUAUUUGCUUUGUGCAGUAAUGUUAAAAACAUUCAUGUUCAUAUUAACCAAACCUGAUGCAGUUGUUUAUUUACCUACCACACUAGCAAUAUUUUUAUUUCCACUUAAAUUCACUGAAUGUUACAAAUAACUAAUUUGAAUGUACAUGUAACUACACCCUUACUUUAUUUUUUGAAUUAGUCCAAUAUAAUUUGCAAAUAUAGAAUUUUUAAAUUAUAUCAAUGAAUAUGUUGCAUUACAUUUAAAGUGUUUUGGGGAAUUUGUUUUGUGACAUUUCUGUUGUGUCCUGUGGUUUCCAGACCACAGGACUUGUGGUGCUUUAUUUCUCUCUGUUAUUUUGACAGGUGUUUCUGCGCUUGGCAUCUGUAAGUUCAAUCAUGUUAAAAGAGAUCAUUGAAGUGUGUAAUUGUCACAUGGUGAUUCAAGUAGCCAUGUUGUUGGUUUUAUUAUUAGCAUUUUUAUGUUUGUGGAUAUUUCAACUUCUUGCCAUUUUCUGUAUGAAGUUUAAUUGUUUAACCAUCAUUUUGAACACCUUUUCUUUAAUUUGAAUUUUAAUGAUGAUUGUAAUAUUAAAUGAGAGUUCAUUUCCAAUGUAUGGUAUGUAGACCUACUGCUAGGUCAAUUUGCUUUUGUUGCAGAUUUGCCUGCUUGUGAUCAGGGAACAAGUACAGUAUAUGUGCCCGGCAAGAUAAAUAUGUAUUCGAGUUAAGCAUGAUGUGUCCCUAUAUCUAAAUUUGGCAUGGUCAGAGAGUGAGAAAACACUUGCCAGCUGAUCAGAGCAUUGGACAAAUCUCACCUCCCCCUCCUCUCUAAAAAGAGGGGAGUUAGGGUUGGGUGGCCGGCUCGCAGCAAGUCACUGACCACUAUCUGGCAUCCCAUGAUAAAUAUUGAACUGAAUUAUUUUUGUUAAAAAUGAUAAAACUAAUUUGGCAAAAUAAUUUCAACUAAAAAAGGAAAUGUUUGUUAUAUGGCUAAUGUUUAUUAAUUUAUUUUUUAAAAACUAGAAAAUUAAAAUUUUGGAAGUUUCAUUAUAAUGAAAAAAUAAAUUGAAAAAAAUAAUUAGCUGUUGAGUUUUUAGUGUGAAAAUUUAUACAUUGAUUAAAAAUAAUUAUUGCAACACCACUGAAAAAUAAAAUUAAAGUAGGAAAGUAGCUUAAAAGCAAUAUUUAGCCAGUAUAGAAAAAAAAUCAGAGGAAAAAAAAAAUAUGUACAUUACUUAACAGAGAAGUGGUCUCAAUUUUUAAUGAGUAAAGGAUGAAGUGAUUGUAUUUUAUUUUAAAAAUAAAUUGAAAAUAUUUCAUUUCAAAAUAAUUUGAGAGUAUGUCGAUAAAUAAAUAAAACCUUAUUAAACCUA